CCAGGUCAGUGGGCUCUCUCCACGCCCCCGGGCCCGCUGCAGACCCCGCGGGGAUCUGGCAUUGCCUGGGGCACGGAGAGCCCCCGGUCCUAGAACCACGCGCGGAGUAGAGUAGAAGGAAGAGGAGAAGGCUG